UACAGAGGUCCCAAGCGUUGUUCGGAUUCAUUGGGCGUAAAGGGUGCGUAGGCGGCGCGGUAAGUCGGGUGUGAAAUCUCGGAGCUUAACUCCGAAACUGCAUUCGAUACUGCCGUGCUUGAGGACUGGAGAGGAGACUGGAAUUUACGGUGUAGCGGUGAAAUGCGUAGAUAUCGGGAGGAACACCAGUAGCGAAGGCGGCACUCUGGGCCGGUACUGACGCUGAGGAGCGAAAGCGUGGGGAGCGAACAGG
rnacentral:rRNA from 1 species